UACGUAGGGUGCGAGCGUUGCCCGGAUUUAUUGGGCGUAAAGGGCGCGUAGGCGGCUCGGCACGUCCGUUGUGAAAUCGCUCGGCUCAACUGGGCGAGGUCAGCGGAUACGGUCGAGCUUGAGCCAGCUAGGGGGCAAUGGAAUUCCCGGUGUAGUGGUGGAAUGCGUAGAGAUCGGGAAGAACAUCAGUGGCGAAGGCGGUCUGCUGGGCCGUUGCUGACGCUGAUGCGCGACAGCGUGGGGAGCAAACAGG
rnacentral:rRNA from 1 species